rnacentral:rRNA from 1 species
UGUGACCUACGGGGGCCAGCAGUGGGGAAUAUUGGGCAAUGGGCGCAAGCCUGACCCAGCAACGCCGCGUGAAGGAAGAAGGCUUUCGGGUUGUAAACUUCUUUUAAGAGGGAAGAGAAGAAGACGGUACCUCUUGAAUAAGCCACGGCUAACUACGUGCCAGCAGCCGCGGUAAUACGUAGGUGGCAAGCGUUGUGCGGAUUUACUGGGUGUAAAGGGCGUGCAGCCGGGCUGACAAGUCAGAUGAGAAAUCCCGCGGC